UACGAAGGGGGCUAGCGUUGUUCGGAAUUACUGGGCGUAAAGCGUGCGUAGACGGUUUUGUAAGUCGGAUGUGAAAGCCCUGGGCUCAACCUAGGAAGUGCAUUCGAAACUUCGAAGCUGGAGUCCUGGAGAGGAAGGCGGAAUUCUCGGUGUAGAGGUGAAAUUCGUAGAUAUCGAGAGGAACACCGGUGGCGAAGGCGGCCUUCUGGACAGUGACUGACGCUGAGACGCGAAAGCGUGGGGAGCAAACAGG
rnacentral:rRNA from 1 species